rnacentral:rRNA from 1 species
AACGAACGCUGGCGGCAGGCCUAACACAUGCAAGUCGAGCGCCCAGCAAUGGGAGCGGCGCACGGGUGAGUAACACGUGGGAAUAUGCCCUUUGGUUCGGAAUAACGCAGGGAAACUUGCGCUAAUACCGGAUAAGCCCUACGGGGAAGAUUUAUCGCCAUUGGAGUAGCCCGCGUCUGAUUAGCUAGUUGGUGAGGUAAAAGCCCACCAAGGCAACGAUCAGUAGCUGGUUUGAGAGAACGACCAGCCACACUGGGACUGAGACACGGCCCAGACUCCUACGGGAGGCAGCAGUGGGGAAUCUUGGACAAUGGGGGAAACCCGUGAUCCAGCCAUGCCGCGUGAGUGAUGAAGGCCCUAGGG